UACGUAGGGGCCUAGCGUUGUCCGGAUUUAUUGGGCGUAAAGCGCGUGUAGGCGGCCAGAUAAGUCCGCUGUGAAAUCUCGAGGCUCAACUUCGAGCUGUCGGUGGAAACUGUCUGGCUAGAGUCCGGAAGAGGAGAAUGGAAUUCCUGGUGUAGCGGUGAAAUGCGCAGAUAUCAGGAAGAACACCCGUGGCGAAAGCGGCUCUCGUGGAACGGUACUGACGCUGAGACGCGAAAGCGUGGGGAGCGAACAGG
rnacentral:rRNA from 1 species